GAUUCCUACCCAGAGUUGCUAACUUGCGUGAUUUGCACGUGUGUGUGAGCAUUAACCGCACUUGCUGCUUUUCAUAAUGCCCCAGCUCCUGAAAAAAAGAUGUCUGGUGAUGACAGUUGUUUUCAGAUCAGAAUAACAAAAAGGCUGGGGGAAAAUGGCCACUCUUGAUGUCCAAGCUUUGUUGCAUCUUUGGAGCCAAGAAAGUUGUGAUGGGGAAGAAAGAAGAAAAUUCAUACAAGGUGGGAGACAGUUAGGAAAAGCACUUUCUGCAGUGACGCUUUAAAAUGGUACCAAGGAAGAAAACAGAUUACAGAUAUUGCAUGAAGAUGACCAUAGGAUGGUGGAGCUCAGCAUUCUGUGAGAAGAGAGCAAGGCAAAUAGCAGGAUCAUAGCCCUGGACUUCAGGAAAGCAGAUUUUGGCCUAUUCAGGGGAUUUGCUUGGAAGACUCCCAUAGCAUAUGAUGCUGGAAAGAAGAAGGGCCCAGGAGAGCUGGCUCAUUUUCAAAGAUCGCCAGAAGUAGUCCUCCCACAUGUGCAGGGAAUCAAGCAAAGGUGGCAGGAGGCCAGCAUAGAUGAAUAAGGAGCUCCUGAGUAAACUCCGACAUGGAAAGGAUGCAUAAAGAGGUGGAAGCAGGGAUAGGUGACCUGGGAGGAAUAUAGAGGCACUGUCAAGUGUACAGAAGUGGGGUUAGGAAGGCCAAAGCCCACCUGGAAUUGAUUCUGGCUGGGGAGGUGAAAGGCAACGAGAAGGACUCUACAUGUAUAUCAACAGCAAAGGGCUGACCAACCUGAUGGCUUUCUAUGAUGAAAUGACAAGCUCGGUGAAUAAGGGGCAUGUUGUUUAUUUGGACUUUAGCAAGGCUUUUGAUACUGUCUCCCAUAACAUCCUCACAGACAAACUGAUGAAAUACAGGUUAGAUAAAUAGACUGCAUAGUGGAUUGAGGACAUGAACUUCUGGUCUCAAAAGUAGUGAACAACACAAAGUCCAUCUGGACCAGUGACUACUGGUGUAUUCCAAGGGUCAAUACUAGGCCCAUUACUGUGUAACAGCUUUGUUAAUGACAAAUGGAUGAUGGAACAGAGUGCACGUGCACCAAAUUGCAGUUGUUAAAGAUUGGGAGGUGGUUGUGCCACCAUUCAGAGGGACCUCAACAGACUGGAGAAAUGGGCAACCUCAUGAAAUUCAACACAGGGCAAUACAAAGUCCCACACCCAGUGAGGAGAACCCCCAUGCCCUAGUACAACCUGGGACCAACUGGCUGGAAGCAGCUUUUGCAGGAAAAGCCCCAGGGGUCUUGGUGGACAGCAAGGUGGCCAUGAGCCACAAAUGUGCUCUUGCAGCAAAGAAGGCCUACAGCAGUCUGGGCUGCCUUAGGAGGACUACUGCCAGCAGGUCAAGGAAGGUCAUCCUUCCUGUCUCCUCAGGACUGGUGAAGCAACAUCUGGAGUGCUGGGCACCCUAGCCCAGGAGAGACAUGGACAUAUUGGAGCGAGUCCACUGAAGGGACUGGAGCAUCUGCCAUGUGAGGAAAGGCUGAGAGAGCUGGGAUUGUUUAGCGUGGCAAAGAAAAGGCUCAGGGGGGAUCUUAUCAAUGAAUAUAAAUACCUGAUGGGAGGGUAUAAAGACAGGGCCAGACUCUUUUCAGUGGUGCCCAGUGAAAAGACAAGAGGCAACAGGCACAAACUGAAGGUGGUCAAACACUGGAAACGGUUGCUCAGAGAGGUUGUGGAGUCACCAUCCCUGGAGAUACUCAAAACCCCACUGGACAUGGCUCUGAACGACCUGCUCUAGCUGACCUGACUUUGAGCAGGGAGGCUGGGUUAGGUAAUCUCCAGAGGUCCCUUCCAGCCUCGACCAUUCUGUAAUUCUGCCUCUUGCAAGUUCAGGUACUUCUCCUUUUCUACCAUUUUGUUUCUGUGGUGUGGCUUCUCCAAAGCCAGCUGGUAAUCAAAGAGUCACCUUUGUAAAGAAUGAAGUCAGAAUUAGGGAUCUACAAAAAAAGAUCAUUCUUGGCAGUUGUCUCACAUUCAGUCCUUGAAAGCUCAUGUCAAGAAGCUGAAGGAAAUUGCUGCCUCUGUAACCACUGUAGAGUCUCAGUCAAAUAUCAGUAUUUAUACACUCAGUAGGGAGAGCUAAGUGAAAGAGACUGAGAAUUGAAAAAGUGUCUGAAGUAGAAUUCCAAAUCCUUUUCAAAAGUGUCACUUUUACAGCUAUUAUAGUUUGACUAUAACAGUAUGACAUGUGAUGCUCUAAAUGAAAGGGAACCAUGAUAGCCUCUCUGGAUCCAGCGCACCCAUGAUAAGUAGAAUAGAAUAGAAUAGAAAAGACCAGACUAUUUCAGCUGGAAGGGACCAACAAUGAUAAUCUAGUCCAAGUGCCUGACCACUUCAGGGCUGACCAACAGUUAAAGCAUGUUGUUAAGGGCAUUGUCCAAAUGCUUCUUAAACACUGAUCUCUGCCAGGAAUUAGGAGAGAGUUCAGGCAUUACUUGGCCACAGUGCAUAUGUUAUGGGACUGCACAGAGUGGCUAAGGGAUGUGCAGGGUGGUGGGAAUUGGAGUAUUGUUACCCCUCGAGUCAUAAGAUGUGGAUCAUCCAGGCUUUUCCUGUGCUUACUGGCUUGAGUGCCAUGGCUAGUAAUUAUAAUAGGUGAAAUUUUUAUUCCUUAAUGAUAGAUGGUGUCACAGUGCCCCUAGGCAGGUUUCACUGUGGUUUCAGAGUAGUGGUGGGUUGCAGAGUCUCUUUCAGUAGGGAUCUGGGACUCUUCCUGGGGACUUCAUUCUGCAUUGGAGGUUGCACCAUGAGGUAGGGUUGAGGGCACUGGGACUCUCCCAUUCUCCUUGUGGUACAGAAUUCUUCACCUCAUCACAGCCUCUCUUCCUUCCCUUCCCUACUCCUGGAGUGGUGAUCAACAGAAAUAAUGCUGGCAUCCUCUGAACAGCAGGACAUGGGAAGAGACACUUUAAUGGGGUAGUACUGAAUAGAGCCAGGCUAAGCCAUGGGAGGCAGCACAGGUGGCAUACAAGGAUAAUAGAAUCAUAGAAUACUUUGGGUUGGAAGGGACCUUUAAAGGUCAUGUAGUGCAACUUGCCCUGCAAUGAGCAGGGACAUCUUCAACCAGAUCAGGUUGCUCAGAGCCCCACCCAACCUGGCCUUGAACACUUCCAGGAAUGGGGCAUUUACCACCUCUCUGGGCAACCUGGGCCUGUGUUUGACC